rnacentral:rRNA from 1 species
GACGAACGCUGGCGGCGUGCCUAAUACAUGCAAGUAGAACGCUGAAGGAGGAGCUUGCUUCUCUGGAUGAGUUGCGAACGGGUGAGUAACGCGUAGGUAACCUGCCUGGUAGCGGGGGAUAACUAUUGGAAACGAUAGCUAAUACCGCAUAACAGUAGAUGUUGCAUGACAUUUGCUUAAAAGGUGCAAUUGCAUCACUACCAGAUGGACCUGCGUUGUAUUAGCUAGUUGGUGGGGUAACGGCUCACCAAGGCGACGAUACAUAGCCGACCUGAGAGGGUGAUCGGCCACACUGGGACUGAGACACGGCCCAGACUCCUACGGGAGGCAGCAGUAGGGAAUCUUCGGCAAUGGACGGAAGUCUGACCGAGCAACGCCGCGUGAGUGAAGAAGGUUUUCGGAUCGUAAAGCUCUGUUGUAAGGGAAGAACGAGUGUGAGAGUGGAAAGUUCACACUGUGACGGUAUCUUACCAGAAAGGGACGGCUAACUACGUGCCAGCAGCCGCGGUAAUACGUAGGUCCCGAGCGUUGUCCGGAUUUAUUGGGCGUAAAGCGAGCGCAGGCGGUUGGAUAGUCUGAAGUUAAAGGCUGUGGCUUAACCAUAGUACGCUUUGGAAACUGUUUAACUUGAGUGCAAGAGGGGAGAGUGGAAUUCCAUGUGUAGCGGUGAAAUGCGUAGAUAUAUGGAGGAACACCGGUGGCGAAAGCGGCUCUCUGGCUUGUAACUGACGCUGAGGCUCGAAAGCGUGGGGAGCAAACAGGAUUAGAUACCCUGGUAGUCCACGCCGUAAACGAUGAGUGCUAGGUGUUAGACCCUUUCCGGGGUUUAGUGCCGUAGCUAACGCAUUAAGCACUCCGCCUGGGGAGUACGACCGCAAGGUUGAAACUCAAAGGAAUUGACGGGGGCCCGCACAAGCGGUGGAGCAUGUGGUUUAAUUCGAAGCGACGCGAAGAACCUUACCAGGUCUUGACAUCCCUCUGACCGCUCUAGAGAUAGAGUUUUCCUUCGGGACAGAGGUGACAGGUGGUGCAUGGUUGUCGUCAGCUCGUGUCGUGAGAUGUUGGGUUAAGUCCCGCAACGAGCGCAACCCCUAUUGUUAGUUGCCAUCAUUGAGUUGGGCACUCUAGCGAGACUGCCGGUAAUAAACCGGAGGAAGGUGGGGAUGACGUCAAAUCAUCAUGCCCCUUAUGACCUGGGCUACACACGUGCUACAAUGGCUGGUACAACGAGUCGCAAGCCGGUGACGGCAAGCUAAUCUCUUAAAGCCAGUCUCAGUUCGGAUUGUAGGCUGCAACUCGCCUACAUGAAGUCGGAAUCGCUAGUGAUCGCGGAUCAGCACGCCGCGGUGAAUACGUUCCCGGGCCU